AGUUUUUUGUUUUUUUAUAAAGAAUAUUUUCUGCUCAGUGAUUUUAAACAGCCGCGGUAUUUUGACCGUGCAAAGGUAGCAUAAUCAUUUGCUUCGUAAUUGGGGGCUAGUAUGAAUGGAAGUACAGGAUAUUUGCUUUAUUUUUAGAAUAAAUGUAAUUUGCUUUUUUAGUGAAGAAGCUAAAAUUUUUCUAAAAGACAAGAAGACCCUUUUGAGUUUUAUUAUUAAUUUUUUUUUUUAAUUUUUAAUAAUUUGGUUGGGGCGACCAAGGAAGAAAUAAUCUUCCUUAUUAAAUUUAGAUCCGCAGUUUGUGAUUGAAAGAUUAAAUUACCAAAGGGAUAACAGCGUUAUUUUUUUUGAGAGUUCUUAUCGAAAAUAAAGAUUGCGACCUCGAUGUUGACUUAUAGUUUCCUUUAGAUGUAGCCGUUUUUAGGGUGGGUCUGUUCGACCUUUAAAGCUUU
rnacentral:rRNA from 1 species